rnacentral:rRNA from 1 species
UACGGGGGGAGCAAGCGUUGUUCGGAUUUACUGGGCGUAAAGGGCGCGUAGGCGGUCAGCACAAGUCAGUUGUGAAAUCUCCGGGCUUAACUCGGAAAGGUCAACUGAUACUGUGCGACUAGAGUGCAGAAGGGGCAACUGGAAUUCUCGGUGUAGCGGUGAAAUGCGUAGAUAUCGAGAGGAACACCUGCGGCGAAGGCGGGUUGCUGGGCUGACACUGACGCUGAGGAGCGAAAGCCAGGGGAGCAAACGGG